UACGGGGGGGGUAAGCGUUGUUCGGAAUUACUGGGCGUAAAGGGCUCGUAGGCGGCCAACUAAGUCAGACGUGAAAUCCCUCGGCUUAACCGGGGAACUGCGUCUGAUACUGGAUGGCUUGAGUUCGGGAGAGGGAUGCGGAAUUCCAGGUGUAGCGGUGAAAUGCGUAGAUAUCUGGAGGAACACCGGUGGCGAAGGCGGCAUCCUGGACCGGCAUUGACGCUGAGGCGCGAAAGCUAGGGGAGCAAACGGG
rnacentral:rRNA from 1 species